rnacentral:rRNA from 1 species
GGGAUGGCGCAGGUCUACACAUGCAGUCGAACGGUAACAGGAAGCAGCUUGCUGCUUCGCUGACGAGUGGCGGACGGGUGAGUAAUGUCUGGGAAACUGCCUGAUGGAGGGGGAUAACUACUGGAAACGGUAGCUAAUACCGCAUAACGUCGCAAGACCAAAGAGGGGGACCUUCGGGCCUCUUGCCAUCGGAUGUGCCCAGAUGGGAUUAGCUAGUAGGUGGGGUAACGGCUCACCUAGGCGACGAUCCCUAGCUGGUCUGAGAGGAUGACCAGCCACACUGGAACUGAGACACGGUCCAGACUCCUACGGGAGGCAGCAGUGGGGAAUAUUGCACAAUGGGCGCAAGCCUGAUGCAGCCAUGCCGCGUGUAUGAAGAAGGCCUUCGGGUUGUAAAGUACUUUCAGCGGGGAGGAAGGGAGUAAAGUUAAUACCUUUGCUCAUUGACGUUACCCGCAGAAGAAGCACCGGCUAACUCCGUGCCAGCAGCCGCGGUAAUACGGAGGGUGCAAGCGUUAAUCGGAAUUACUGGGCGUAAAGCGCACGCAGGCGGUUUGUUAAGUCAGAUGUGAAAUCCCCGGGCUCAACCUGGGAACUGCAUCUGAUACUGGCAAGCUUGAGUCUCGUAGAGGGGGGUAGAAUUCCAGGUGUAGCGGUGAAAUGCGUAGAGAUCUGGAGGAAUACCGGUGGCGAAAGGCGGCCCCCUGGACGAAGACUGACGCUCAGGUGCGAAAGCGUGGGGGAGCAAACAGGGAUUAGAUACCCUGGUAGUCCACGCCGUAAACGAUGUCGACUUGGAAGGUUGUGCCCUUUGAGGCGUGGCUUCCGGGAGCUAACGCGUUUAAGUCGACCGCCUGGGGAGUACGGCCGCAAGGUUAAAAACUCAAAUGAAUUGACGGGGGGGCCCGCACAAGCGGUGGAAGCAUUGUGGUUAAAUUCGAUGCAACGGCGAAGAAACCCUACCUGAUCUUGGAACAUCCACGGGAAAGUUUUCAGAGAGAUGAGAAUGUGGCCUCGGAACCCGUGAGAAACAGGGUGCUUGCAAUGGCUGUCGUCAGGCUCGUGUUUGACAAAUGUGUUAAGGUUCCGCAACGGAGCUCAUCCUUAACCUUGUGCCAGGCGAUUCGGACCUAGCGAGAACUUCAGA